rnacentral:rRNA from 1 species
AGUGAACGCUGGCGGUAGGCCUAACACAUGCAAGUCGAACGGCAGCACAGUAAGAGCUUGCUCUUACGGGUGGCGAGUGGCGGACGGGUGAGGAAUACAUCGGAAUCUACUUUUUCGUGGGGGAUAACGUAGGGAAACUUACGCUAAUACCGCAUACGACCUACGGGUGAAAGCAGGGGAUCUUCGGACCUUGCGCGAUUGAAUGAGCCGAUGUCGGAUUAGCUAGUUGGCGGGGUAAAGGCCCACCAAGGCGACGAUCCGUAGCUGGUCUGAGAGGAUGAUAAGCCACACUGGAACUGAGACACGGUCCAGACUCCUACGGGAGGCAGCAGUGGGGAAUAUUGGACAAUGGGCGAAAGCCUGAUCCAGCCAUACCGCGUGGGUGAAGAAGGCCUUCGGGUUGUAAAGCCCUUUUGUUGGGAAAGAAAAGCAGCAGGUUAAUACCCCGCUGUUCUGACGGUACCAAAAGAAUAAGCACCGGCUAACUUCGUG